rnacentral:rRNA from 1 species
CAGUAGCCGCGGGAAAACAGAGGGUGCGAGCGUUAAUCGGAUUUACUGGGCGUAAAGCGUGCGUAGGCGGCUAAUUGAGUCGGAUGUGAAAUCCCCGAGCUUAACUUGGGAAUUGCAUUCGAUACUGGUUAGCUAGAGUGUGGGAGAGGAUGGUAGAAUUCCAGGUGUAGCGGUGAAAUGCGUAGAGAUCUGGAGGAAUACCGGUGGCGAAGGCGGCCCCCUGGACAAAGACUGACGCUCAGGUGCGAAAGCGUGGGGAGCAAACAGGAUUAGAGACCCCAGUAGUCCCUGUCUCUUAUAC